rnacentral:lncRNA from 1 species
CCCAUGGCCUGUAAUUAAUGAGAUGCUAUAAUUGUAACCACUUUGCUCAUGAAACUGCUCUAUUUUUACUUGGCUCUCGACAUUCAAACUUGCUAACACGCUGACGUAUAUUUUUUACGCCAUUUUACUAACUUAGCAUCUUGACCAUGCAGGCUAAAUAGCACAUACACUUCCCUAGCUUGGAUGAAUGCUGUUUAGGGAGAAAAAAAAUAUAUCUUAAUCACCUUUCAGGUUUUCUUUGUUAUUAUUAGGUUACUGGGGCUUUUUUUCAGUCAGUUUGAUUGGAAGUUUAAAUAUAUUGCUCUUUUGGCAUUGUUGUUGCUGGCACUCCAUGGCAGCAACCAGGCUGAUUCUUCACCCCAGUUUCCCAGGUGAGCACAGCAGUGCCUUGCUCAUACAGGUGAGUGUGACCCUGCAAAGACACAACCAUGCUGCAAUUCCAGAGCAGAAAGGUCCCAAGCCAGUGAUUUCUCUCAUUCCUGGCUCAAAGUAACAGGAUUUGAAAAGCACUAGUACAAAAGGGCAACAGUUUUCAUGUCUUUCAGCAAUGAAUUGUAGCUCUUGAAAAGUAUUCAAAACUCAGAGCUGGGUGUUAUGGUAAUUGUCUGAUGACUAAUGAAGGACAAAUGCCUCGAUAAUUAGGAUAAUUAAAGUCUGAAAGGCUCUGGGUUAGAUUUUAGAAACAUCAUUCACUCCUGUAAUUUUUUUCCUUCUGUUUGCUUACUCAAUUUAUCUUUUAAUGGUUUAUUUUAAUCUCUGUUUUGCCAUUUUACCUAUAGUUUUUAUAUAACGUAAACAUGUGCAGCAAUUUUCUUCAACAGUUUAUGAGUUGUAUGACUCAGAAGUCCCUGAAGUCCCAGUUCAGAACUUUGCUGCUCCGUGACUGCAUUACAUCUCACUGCCUUCACCUUCACCAGGGACCUUUCAAACACAUGGCUAAUGGCCCCAGAAUCUUCCGCUCUUUCUACAGGGCUUCUGCAAGGUCCAUGGCAAACCUUGGGAUGAAGGGAAAAAAGGAAACAUGCAACCUCUUACCUCCAAUAUCUUCUUGGAUGGGGGUUGUGCAUUUGUUGGCAGUUCCCUGUUGUAGUCCUGCAAGGUGUUAAGCAGCUUUUGAUUCUCUUGAGGCUGGUAGAUGCUGGGAGCACUUGGGAGCGCUGAGACGUGGAUGGCAUCAAGUCAGAUCCACUUCAUGAAGCCUACAGAAAGGAGGCCAGCCCGUCACAAGCUCUGUUCACAUAAUCUACAGCUUUGAUUGCUGCGGAUGAAGACCUGAAUGAGGCUUUUUUCACAUCGAAUUUCUUUCCAGUUUUCAAUUUAAAUUGAACAAUCAGCACUUCAGGAGAAGCUCCAAGUUUCUCAUUCCUUUGACAUUGGCACAAUAAGCUGGCUUAGGAUCGAGUCCUGCAAAGAGUCCUGGAGGAAAUUCCAGUCUGGUGCACAGCCAAAGGAGGUAUGGACUGCCAGUCUGUGGACAUAAUUUUUGCACAGUGGGAGUCAAAAUACAACUGUUUAGAAAUAAAGUAGGGAAGUCAUUACCA